rnacentral:tRNA from 1 species
GCCGAGGUGUUGAAAUGGCAGACAAAGCGGACUUAAAAUCCGCCGCCCGUAAGGGCGUGAGGGUUCGACUCCCUCCCUCGGCA